rnacentral:rRNA from 1 species
AAUGGGCGCAAGCCUGAUCCAGCCAUGCCGCGUGCGUGAUGAAGGCCCUAGGGUUGUAAAACACUUUCAGUGGGGAAGAUAAUGACGGUACCCACAGAAGAAGCUCCGGCUAACUCCGUGCCAGCAGCCGCGGUAAUACGGAGGGAGCUAGCGUUGUUCGGAAUUACUGGGCGUAAAGCGCACGUAGGCGGAUUUGUUAGUCAGAGGUGAAAUCCCGGGGCUCAACCUCGGAACUGCCUUUGAUACUGCAAGUCUAGAGACCGAGAGAGGUGAGUGGAAUUUCCAGUGUAGAGGUGAAAUUCGUAGAUAUUGGAAAGAACACCAGUGGCGAAGGCGGCUCACUGGCUCGGUACUGACGCUGAGGUGCGAAAGCGUGGGGAGCAAACAGGAUU